rnacentral:ncRNA from 1 species
AUAAGUAGAAUUAUUUCAUAAAUAUUAAUUAGUUAAGUUGUAGAUAUUAUUAGAUAUAUAUAUAUUUUUCAGCGAGUGUUAUUUAUUAAGUUAUUAUAUUUUCUUUAGUUUUAUUUUUCGCUUUCUUUAGGACUUAGAUCGGCCAACGGAGCCGCUAAACCCGUCGGAGUAGAUUAAUCCAAACGGCUUGGGUUAAUUAGAAAACCCCGGACCGGAUUCACUCCUCAAGUUGACGAGUGGUCAAUUUCGCCUGUCAAUAGAACCUAACUAUUUAAUUAAGACAAAGAAUUGUGAUGGUCCUUUUGGAUGCUAACGCAAUGUAUUUCUACCCAGUUCUCUGAAUGUUAAAGUGAAUAUAUUUAGCCAAGCAUAGUUAAAUGACAAAAGUAACUAUGAAUCUCUUAAGGUAUCCAAAAGCCUCACCAUCUAAUUAGUGAUACACAUGAAUGGAUUAACUAGAUUCCCACUAUCCCUAUCUACUAUCUAGCGAAACCACAACCAAGGGAAUGGGCUUGGAAUAAUCAACAUGGAAAGAAGACCUUGUUGAGAUUGAAUCUAGUCCGAUUUUUUGAAAUGAAUUGAGAGUUGUAGAAUAAGUGGGAAUCGUUUUCGGCACAAAUUAAAUACCACUACUUUUAACAUUAUUUUACUUAUAAUUUUGUGGGGCGAAGACGGGGUAGUUAACCUAUUUUUUUUCUUAAUUCAUGUUUCAAUGGUUCGAUCUGGGUGGAAGACAUUGCUAGGUGGGGAUUUUGUAUGGGUAAAUGCAUAUAUUAAAAUAUAACAUAAAAUAUAAUUGGUGUAGAUAGAACAUUUGUAUUUGGGAUAUCCUAGUGAACAACUUCCCUUGU